rnacentral:ncRNA from 1 species
AGAAGCCGUAUGAGAUGAAAACCUCAUGUACGGUUUUGGAACGGAGAUUUUUUUAAUAGAAUGAACGACCAUAAC